AGCAGCCGCGGUAAUUCCAGCUCCAAUAGCGUAUAUUAAAGUUGUUGCAGUUAAAAAGCUCGUAGUUGAAUUUCGGGAUUCAUCCGUUGGUCGGGCUUCACGGUCCGUACUGGUGUGAUGGGUUCCUACCUUCUGAAUAACCGGCAUGCCAUUAAUUUGGUGCGCCGGGGAAGCAGAACUAUUACCUUGAAAAAUUAGAGUGCUUAAAGCAGGCAAGUGCCUGAAUAGGUUAGCAUGGAAUAAUAAAAUAGGACGGCAUGGUUCUAUUUUGUUGGUUUCUAGGAUCACCGUAAUGAUUAAUAGGGAUAGUUGGGGGCAUUAGUAUUCAAUUGUCAGAGGUGAAAUUCUUGGAUUUAUUGAAGACUAACUUCUGCGAAAGCAUUUGCCAAGGAUGUUUUCAUUAAUCAAGAACGAAAGUUAGGGGAUCGAAGACGAUCAGAUACCGUCGUAGUCUUAACCAUAAACUAUGCCGACUAGGGAUC
rnacentral:rRNA from 1 species